CUCGGCGUCGUCCUCCUCCUCCUCCUCCUCCGUGCUGGUGGUGGUGGGACUGCCCCCGGCCGCUGCCCCCGCCGCCGCCCCGCACCGGAGUAGCGGCCACAGCCUGGUCAGCGGCAGCAUCAUGCAGGCCAACGGGGCAGGAGGAGGAGGAGGAGGCGGCGGCGGCGGCGGCGGCGGCGGAGGGGGCGGCGGGGGCCAGGGACAGACCCCGGAGCUGGCCUGCCUGGCGGCCCAGAACGGGGAGUCGUCCCCGUCGUCGUCGUCGUCCGCGGGGGACCUAGCCCACGCCAACGGGCUGCUGCCCGCCGCCCCCUCCGCCGCCAGCAACAAUAGCAACAGCCUGAAUGUCAAUAACGGGGUCCCCGGCGGGGCCGCCGCCGCCGCCGCCGCCGCCGCCGCCGCCGCCGCCGCCUCGGCCGCCGCCGCCGCCGCCGCCGCCUCGGCCGCCACCCCGGAGCUGGGCAGCAGCCUCAAGAAGAAGAAGCGGCUCUCGCAGUCGGACGAGGAUGUCAUUAGGCUAAUAGGACAGCACUUGAAUGGCUUAGGGCUCAACCAGACUGUUGAUCUCCUCAUGCAAGAGUCAGGAUGUCGUUUAGAACAUCCUUCUGCUACCAAAUUCCGAAAUCAUGUCAUGGAAGGAGACUGGGAUAAGGCAGAAAAUGACCUGAAUGAACUAAAGCCUUUAGUGCAUUCUCCUCAUGCUAUUGUGGUAAGAGGCGCACUUGAAAUCUCUCAAACGUUGUUGGGAAUAAUUGUGAGGAUGAAGUUUUUGCUGCUGCAGCAGAAGUACCUAGAAUACCUGGAGGAUGGCAAGGUCCUGGAGGCGCUUCAGGUUCUGCGCUGCGAGUUGACACCCCUGAAGUACAAUACAGAGCGCAUUCACGUCCUCAGUGGGUAUCUGAUGUGUAGCCAUGCAGAAGACUUACGUGCAAAAGCAGAAUGGGAAGGCAAAGGAACAGCUUCCCGAUCCAAACUGCUGGACAAACUGCAGACAUAUUUACCACCAUCAGUGAUGCUUCCUCCACGGCGUUUACAGACUCUCCUGCGGCAGGCGGUGGAGCUACAAAGGGACCGGUGCCUAUAUCACAAUACCAAACUUGACAAUAAUCUAGAUUCUGUGUCUCUGCUUAUAGAUCAUGUUUGUAGUAGGAGGCAGUUCCCAUGUUAUACUCAGCAGAUACUUACGGAGCAUUGUAAUGAAGUGUGGUUCUGUAAAUUCUCCAAUGAUGGCACUAAACUAGCAACAGGAUCGAAAGAUACCACGGUUAUCAUAUGGCAGGUUGACCCGGAUACACAUCUGCUAAAACUGCUUAAAACCUUAGAAGGACAUGCUUACGGCGUUUCCUACAUUGCGUGGAGUCCAGAUGACAACUAUCUUGUUGCUUGUGGCCCAGACGACUGCUCUGAGCUUUGGCUUUGGAAUGUCCAAACAGGAGAGCUAAGGACAAAAAUGAGCCAGUCUCAUGAGGACAGUUUAACAAGUGUGGCUUGGAAUCCAGAUGGGAAACGCUUUGUGACUGGAGGUCAACGCGGCCAGUUCUAUCAAUGUGAUUUAGAUGGGAACCUCCUUGACUCCUGGGAAGGGGUAAGAGUGCAAUGCCUUUGGUGCUUGAGCGACGGGAAGACAGUUCUGGCAUCAGACACACACCAGCGGAUCCGGGGUUACAACUUCGAGGACCUCACAGAUAGGAACAUAGUACAAGAAGAUCAUCCCAUUAUGUCUUUUACUAUUUCCAAGAAUGGCCGAUUAGCUUUGUUAAAUGUAGCAACUCAGGGAGUUCAUUUAUGGGACUUGCAAGACAGAGUUUUAGUAAGGAAGUAUCAAGGUGUCACGCAAGGGUUUUAUACGAUUCAUUCAUGUUUUGGAGGCCAUAACGAAGACUUCAUCGCUAGUGGCAGUGAGGAUCACAAGGUUUACAUCUGGCACAAACGUAGCGAACUGCCAAUUGCGGAGCUGACAGGGCACACACGUACAGUGAACUGUGUGAGCUGGAACCCACAGAUCCCAUCCAUGAUGGCCAGCGCCUCAGACGAUGGCACUGUUAGGAUAUGGGGACCAGCACCUUUUAUAGACCACCAGAAUAUUGAAGAGGAAUGCAGUAGCAUGGAUAGUUGAUGGCGAAUGUGGAGCAGACGACUUCUGUUUAACUUAAAAUUAGUCGUAUUUUAAUGGCUUGGGAUUUGGUGCAAACAAACAUGAUUGAUAGCUGGACAGACAUGCUCGUCAUGAAAAAAGAACCAUUUCUGAAGCCCGAUUGGGGCCAAACAUUUACACCUUGCUUCAUAGUAACCAGUUGAGAUGAAGCACGUCGUUAGAACGUUGUUGGACACCAUGUUGAAUUAUCCCCCCAUCGGUUGUGAAGAACUGUGCUACAUUCAGGCUUACCCAUUGAACUCAGUAUAUAUAUUUUUUUCCCUCCUGCCUUUUGCCUGGUGGGAUACCAUUCUUGUUGCUCUUCUGUGUAAUGAAGUUUAAAUGCUUGUUUGGAAAACUUUAUUUAACAGUUUAGAAGGCUUGAUAGAAGGAGUGCAUUAGUCUGAAGAGUAUACAUUGGAUAGGAAAGAAUUUCCUUCUUUUGUUUCUCCAAAUCUUUCCGCCUUAUUUAGCUUGAGAUCUUUGCAGCUUGGUUCAUGGAUUCUAGCCUUGCCCGUUGCGCAGUAUAUACUGAUCCAGAUGAUAAACCAGUGAACUAUGUCAAAAGCACUCUCAAUAUUACAUUUGACAAAAAGUUUUGUACUUUUCACAUAGCUUGUUGCCCCGUAAAAGGGUUAACAGCACAAUUUUUUAAAAAUAAAUUAAGAAGUAUUUAUAGGAUUAAAGUGACUUCAUUUGUAUACAUUUGGAAUCUAAACCAGCUUCAAAAAGUUUCCUCUCUGACUUAGAUAUUACGCAGUAUAACUGAUGCUCUUCUGGAACCCCACGUGAGACUUGCCCAGAAACAGUGCUUGGAAGGACGUGGCACAGGAGACCCAGAGUCCCACCGGGAAGGUUUCCCCCCUUUUGUUUUAUUCCUGAAGGAACAUCAGUACCUGAUGUUGAAGAUAUUCAAGAUUCAAAAAGAGAAUUGUAAAUCUCUACUGACAGGAGAGAUGAAUAGUCAGUUUAAGUUUCCAGCCUGGGAAGGUGUUCUGGUGCAAAAUCAGGCGAGUGGAGCCGAGGCAUAACCACUGGGGGAGUCCAAGGAUGUUUGAGCUUGUCCGGAGUAUCAGCAGGUUACAGACAGGCCAAACUAGGUUUAACACCUCAUAGUCAUUGGUCUUAGUGGCCCUCACUAUUUUGUCCCAUAGAGAGACCUAAGUCCAGACUGCUCCUCCUCAGUUUUCCAGGUAUUGCCAUACUGAACCUCAUUCUACACUGGUGCUCUGGGUAGUCCUUGCCUUCCCCUCCCCUUAGUUGAAGGAAAGGUCUCCUUCGUGGGAAAGCACUUUUAAUCUUGAGAAUUUCACAUUUAAUUAAAGUAAGCCAGAAGCCUGAUGUUCACGUUGUGCUUUUAAACCCUGUAACAGCUGAAUGCAGCCGACUUCAUCUCCUUUGAGACUCCUUUCCCUGGUCAGCAGAGGCUCCCAGGGGCCCAGCUGUUAGACUGGGAGGAGGAAUGGGAGCACCCCUGAGAUAAGAUUCUGGCCAAGGAAAGGGCCUGUCUGUGCUAAGUCCCUUUGGGGCCCAGCCAGGCCUGCAGUCUGUCACCGCCCCAAGUGGGCACUAUCAGGACCCAGAGCGGCAGGGGGAAAGGCUUCAGUGUCAGGAAUCCUCCUGGGGCGCAGGCUGGGCUACAGGGAAGGGAGAGGACAGACAAAUGCAAUUGGCCUUAACAUGCAUGGGUCCUCCAGAAGCUCACAGAGUAAGACAAAGUGGCAGACCGUGGGCAGCAGAUUAUUUUAUCAAAUUGGUAUGUAAAAGAUUUCUUUAAGCUCCAUUUUGCAGAGACCACCACUUAGAGAAUCAAGAAUUCCUGUUUUGAUACUUCUGAGUUACAAAUAAGUAUAUGUUACAGUUUAUCUGGUACUUCAUUUUUCUUAACUCCAAUUACUUUUUACUUUGAGCUUGAAUAAAAGUCUUCAUUGGUAUCUGUAAGUAACUAAGUGGCAACUUCUCUUUACAUCAGUGCAGUUCAACCCGUUCCUGGUGUUAGUGAUUUGGUAAACCUCAAAACCGUUAAUGCAACCCAGUCUCCAGAAACAUCUGAACAUUUCUGUAGGCCGCCACGGCUUACAGAUCGAGUCGCCAUGUGCCCUGGCUGUUGUUUCCUGCACACGAGAACUGACCCUACCACCUCUGCUCAGCGGUCAAUACCGCACACCUCUUGAAAGGGAGAUCUCUGUGUCAGUUUCUCUGACAGCAGAAGAAUGACUACUCUUGAGUGGGGAGGACAGAAGACAGUUUCCUUAAUAUCCUUUGUGUCCCAUCUCUAAAAUGUGCAGAUAUCUAGAUUUCAUUUAGACUUUAGCAGCUCUCUUUUGGCCUUACACUCCAAAACAUGCAUUUUCAAAACCGUAUCUGAUUUAGCAUAAACAGCUAACUUUAAAAGAAGAGGUGAAUUUGCAUUUAUUUACACUUAGACACUUUCUAAAAACAGGGUGAACUUAAUUGAAAGUUUCAGUGUUAAGCUAUUGUUACAGUAGCUGCCCUAUAGUUGCAGAAACAAAAACUGUAAAACCCGUCCCCUGUCCACUUAAUCCAGAUAGGCUGGAUUUAAUGAAACUAAUAGUAUAAAAAUUGUGUGUGUGUGUGUGUGUGUGUGUGUGUGUGUGUGUGUUGUUUGUCUGUGUGGGAGAGAGAGAGAACUUAAUUCAUAAAGAGUCCUAGAAACUGCUUUCUGGGUUCUUGUCAUUUUACUAAGUCUCGUGCUUGUGUGAUGUGCCCUUUCUGAGUUUAGGGUCUGGUUAAUACUGGUAUAUUUUUAUAAGAUUGAGAUGUGUCCCCAUCUUUAACUCAAGCAUUUUCAUUAUCAGGGUCAAUGUGCUAAAACCGAAUCGUAACAUUUUUAGGCACAGAUGGAAAAAGAUGUCAUUGGCUCCUUGAAUGUGUGUGUGUGGCGAGGGGAAAAGAUCCGCAGAAGCAUGUUUGUACUUACAAACCAAGCUGUAGAGAUCAAGGAAAGAACUUGAGUGCUGAUCUCAAGAUACCUAACUUGUCGAGAUUCCCAUGGCAUUGUGGUGGAGCUAGUUAACACUUAGAGCUUUUGGUCUGUAAUAACUAUUUGCUAUGGACUGAUUCAGUGUUUCAAAGGAUUGUGUUCUUAAAUUUGGGGGGUUCUGUUUGUUUUUUUUUAACUGCCUCAGAUUCUAUUUAGUAGUUUAAAUUUCUUUGCUUUAUUAUUUCAUUAAAGCAUAAAAAAUUUCAGGUCUCAUAUUUAUUUUCACUUGUUCUACUAAUUAUUUACAAAACACCCUUUGUUAACUUUUAUUUUAUAAAUGUGUAGUAUAUUAAACGUCUUUUAAAAUUUUGUUCAAUUGAAACUACAUUAACUUUGAUUUGCUUUAAUGGGAUUUUUUUUUUUUAAAUACACCUUUUCCAUGUCAGUGCGUAGCACCUAACCAAUCGUUUGUAUUCCCUUUCAAUCCAAUAAACAGAAUGAAUAAGA